rnacentral:rRNA from 1 species
AGAGUUUGAUCCUGGCUCAGGACGAACGCUGGCGGCGUGCCUAAUACAUGCAAGUCGAACGAACUCUGGUAUUGAUUGGUGCUUGCAUCAUGAUUUACAUUUGAGUGAGUGGCGAACUGGUGAGUAACACGUGGGAAACCUGCCCAGAAGCGGGGGAUAACACCUGGAAACAGAUGCUAAUACCGCAUAACAACUUGGACCGCAUGGUCCGAGUUUGAAAGAUGGCUUCGGCUAUCACUUUUGGAUGGUCCCGCGGCGUAUUAGCUAGAUGGUGGGGUAACGGCUCACCAUGGCAAUGAUACGUAGCCGACCUGAGAGGGUAAUCGGCCACAUUGGGACUGAGACACGGCCCAAACUCCUACGGGAGGCAGCAGUAGGGAAUCUUCCACAAUGGACGAAAGUCUGAUGGAGCAACGCCGCGUGAGUGAAGAAGGGUUUCGGCUCGUAAAACUCUGUUGUUAAAGAAGAACAUAUCUGAGAGUAACUGUUCAGGUAUUGACGGUAUUUAACCAGAAAGCCACGGCUAACUACGUGCCAGCAGCCGCGGUAAUACGUAGGUGGCAAGCGUUGUCCGGAUUUAUUGGGCGUAAAGCGAGCGCAGGCGGUUUUUUAAGUCUGAUGUGAAAGCCUUCGGCUCAACCGAAGAAGUGCAUCGGAAACUGGGAAACUUGAGUGCAGAAGAGGACAGUGGAACUCCAUGUGUAGCGGUGAAAUGCGUAGAUAUAUGGAAGAACACCAGUGGCGAAGGCGGCUGUCUGGUCUGUAACUGACGCUGAGGCUCGAAAGUAUGGGUAGCAAACAGGAUUAGAUACCCUGGUAGUCCAUACCGUAAACGAUGAAUGCUAAGUGUUGGAGGGUUUCCGCCCUUCAGUGCUGCAGCUAACGCAUUAAGCAUUCCGCCUGGGGAGUACGGCCGCAAGGCUGAAACUCAAAGGAAUUGACGGGGGCCCGCACAAGCGGUGGAGCAUGUGGUUUAAUUCGAAGCUACGCGAAGAACCUUACCAGGUCUUGACAUACUAUGCAAAUCUAAGAGAUUAGACGUUCCCUUCGGGGACAUGGAUACAGGUGGUGCAUGGUUGUCGUCAGCUCGUGUCGUGAGAUGUUGGGUUAAGUCCCGCAACGAGCGCAACCCUUAUUAUCAGUUGCCAGCAUUAAGUUGGGCACUCUGGUGAGACUGCCGGUGACAAACCG